rnacentral:lncRNA from 1 species
UGAUAGCAAAGAACCCAUCUGCCUCUUAUUUCUUCUCUCUCCUGCUCUCCCCGCUGCCUCUUUCUUGCUCUUCCCAUCUCCCAGCUCGCCCAUCUCUUCGCUCGUCGGCCAUCUCCUCGCUCAUCACCCAUCUCCUCGCUCGUCGCCCACCUUCUCGCUCAGGCUUCCCAUCUCCUCGCGACAAAUCCUUCGAUUCAUUGCAAGGUAACAAAAUUAGAUGUGGGUAGAUGGAUUUUCUUGCUUUUAGUGUUGAAUUAGGCCUUUUGUUUUAUAUUUUGUGUUUUGGUUUUGAAAAAUUGGAGGGCUAAUAAUUUUUCAGGGCCAAACCCUAGAAUAUGCAGAUUUGUUUGUGUUGAUAGACAACUUUUUGAUUUAUGAAUAUUGUUCUGGGUUAUAGUGGGUGGUGUUAAAAAUAGAAAGCAGAGAACAUUUGUUCUGCUGGUAUGGAGUGUUAUUAUUUGAGAAUGAGUUGUUAUUUGAUGAGAAACUUCUCUUUCACUUUCUCUAUCCAAAACCUUCAAAAUAUUCCCGAUCCCCUCUAUUCUUCUCCUCCGUUUGCCUCGUUUCUUCUGUUUGUUCGCUGAAUAAUUUAUUAUGUACUAUCUUUUCGUUUGCUUUCAUGUUAGUUUUGUUGAUUUUUUUUGUUAUAAAUUGUUUCAGAGAUUGUUCAGCUGGUUUUGUUUGAUAACGACUCUUUAAAAUUGUGUUCAUGGGUUUGACAACUUUUAUGUACUACACAAUACACAAUACACAAUACACAUCUGCCUAUACAUCAUCUGUUAGCUUCUGGCCAAUGUUGUCAGUUUUGUGGAUCUAUAUACUAGGGUGUAUUGAGUUUGAUUAUGUAGGCCAUUUUGAUUAUGCUUAUUAGAUUUAACAGUAAUGAUGCUAACAGUUCUCCUCAGCUUAAGGGAGGUUUCUGAAAAAAAAUAAUAUUUUUCAGGUCAGUAACAAUAUUAGAAAGUUGCCACUAAUUUUUAUUGGCAUUCCACAUUUUAUAUGAAGGAGACAAGUAUUCUUAAAUUGCUUGGUAUUUUAACUAUUAAUGUGAGACAUUAUUGUCAAAGUGUAUUUCUGAGUGUCAAUAUCAUCAUCCUUUUCUGAGGGAGGGAGACAAUAUAUGGGAUGGAAGUGCUAUCCAUUGCCUAGUAACUGGAUAUGUGAAUUGCUUGCAUAACAAAAGCCCAUACACAGAUGAAGAUCCUAGUAAAUGGGUAAUAUGACCAAACACAGAUGAAGGUUUAUUACACAAAAAGAAUUUGUUUGUAAUUUAUUUAUUUUUAAAAAAUAUUUUAAAAAUACCUUCUAGAAUUGGUUUAGUGGUUUUGAAGGGCCAAUACCUUCUAGCAUUUCUGUCUUUGAGCAAUUUAACUCAAGUAUAAGCUCUCUGAUUGGUGUUCUUAUUUCCUUCUUAAGUAUAAGCUCUCUGUUUUCUUUAUGGGCAGAGACCUUAGCUUUAACAAGCUGGAAGGGGAGAUACCAAAAGAUCUUGAAAGCCUAUCAAAUCUGAAGACUAUUUAAGCAAUCAAAAUUAAGGAAGAUGUUUUUAACUUGUGUAGGAAUUCUUUCUAGUUGUUUGAUAUACAAUUGUCAUAAUGUAUCCAAGUGUGAUGUCACACAUGAAUGUCACACAUAAUGUAUCCAAGUUUUUGUUGGCCUGUAAUGGUCAUUUUGGGGAAAAUCUUGUAGAGAUUUUUGUUUUGUUUAUAAUGGACUUUGUGCUGUUUAUAGGCCAACUACUGGUGGUGCUCCACUUCCUGCGCCAGCCAAGGCAUGAAUUUUGUGCUAAGUAUUGUCAAAUACAAACUCUGGUUACCUGUAAAAAAGUUCAAGAAAGCUCUAUUUGAAGACCAAUAUUUUAGGGCAGCGUCGCUUGCUAGCAUAUAAUAUUGCACUUGUAGGAAUUGUAUUCUUCCUCAGAAAAGGCCUUAUUUUUGCAGUUAUAAUUGAUUCUUUGAAGGAUAUUCAUAAUUAUUAUAGAUAAAAGGAGUAUAUUGGAAUAAAGCAAAUUCUUCAAUCAAAGUUGCAAAGAUAUGUGAAACAUAAGCAC